rnacentral:rRNA from 1 species
UACGAAGGUGGCAAGCGUUGUCCGGAUUUACUGGGUGUAAAGGGCGUGUAGGCGGGAUAGCAAGUCAGAUGGGAAAUUCCGGGGAUUAACCCCAGCACUGCAUCUGAAACUGUUAUUCUUGAGUGUCGGAGAGGAAAGUGGAAUUCCCAGUGUAGCGGUGAAAUGCGUAGAGAGUGGGAGGAACACCAGUGGCGAAGGCGGCUUUCUGGACGAUAACUGACGCUGAGGCGCGAAAGCGUGGGGAGCAAACAGG